UGGGGAAUAUUGCACAAUGGACGGAAGUUUGAUGCAGCGACGCCGCGUGGAGGGUGUAGGCCUUCGGGUUGUGAACUCCUUUUUCUCGCGAAAAAGGCACAGUUUUGGCUGUGUUGAUGGUAGUGGGGGAAGAAGCGCCGGCUAACUACGUGCCAGCAGCCGCGGUAAUACGUAGGGCGCGAGCGUUGUCCGGAUUUAUUGGGCGUAAAGAGCUCGUAGGUGGUUCGUCGCGUCUGUCGUGAAAGCCAGCAGCUUAACUGUUGGUCUGCGGUGGGUACGGGCGGGCUUGAGUGCGGUAGGGGUGACUGGAAUUCCUGGUGUAGCGGUGAAAUGCGUAGAUAUUAAAAAGAAUACCGGUGGCGAAGGCGACUUACUGGGCUCAUUCUGACGCUGAGGAACGAAAGCGUGGGUAGCAAACAGG
rnacentral:rRNA from 1 species